rfam:Halanaerobium hydrogeniformans chromosome, complete genome.
GAUUAAGCUAGAAAGAGCUUAUGGUGGAUGCCUAGGCAUUCAGAGUUGAAGAAGGACGUGACCGGCUGCGAAAAGCCGCGGGGAGCUGCUAAAUAAGCGUAGAUCCGUGGAUAUCCGAAUGGGGCAACCCACCAGUGUGGAGCACUGGUAUUAUGCAGUGAAAGAAGUAGCUGUGUAAGAACAAGCAGGAGAAUUGAAACAUCUUAGUACCCUGAGGAAAAGAAAUCAAAACGAGAUUCCCUUAGUAGCGGCGAGCGAAGGGGGAGAAGUCCAAACACUAAAAGUGUAAACCUGUAGGUGUUGCUUUUAGUGGGUGUGGGAUAUUGUUAAUUAGAGGCUACAGCCUCUAGAUGGCUUAAAUUUUUUGCUAAGUCGAAGGGACUGGAAAGUUCCGCCAGAGAGGGUAAUAGCCCUGUAGGCGAAAAGCAAAAGAAGUCAAACGAUAUCCAGAGUAUCACGGGACACGAGAAACCCUGUGAGAAUAUGGGAGGACCACCUUCCAAGACUAAAUACUCCUGAAUGACCGAUAGUGAACAAGUACCGUGAGGGAAAGGUGAAAAGAACCCCGGAAGGGGAGUGAAAUAGAAACUGAAACCGUAAGCUUACAACAAGUAGGAGGACUAUUAGAAAGUCUGACUGCGUACUUUUUGUAUCACGGACCGGCGAGUUACUGAUCGUAGCAAAAGGUUAAGCCAUAGAGGUGUAGCCAGAGCGAAAGCGAGUCUGAAUAGGGCGGAAGUUAUGAUGAGUAGACCCGAAACCGAGUGAUCUAUCCAUGACCAGGGUGAAGCGGGUGUAAGAGCCUGUGGAGGCCCGAACCCGGUGUUGUUGAAAAAACAUGGGAUGAGUUGUGGAUAGGGGUGAAAGGCCAAUCGAACUCGGAGAUAGCUGGUUCUCCUCGAAAUAGCUUUAGGGCUAGCCUCAGAGUAAAAGUUAAUUGGUUGUAGAGCACUGAUUGGACAAGGGGCCCAACAAGGUUACCAAAUCCAUUCAAACUCCGAAUGCCAAUUAAUGUUCUCUGGGAGUCAGACUGUGGGGGAUAAGCUUCAUAGUCAAGAGGGAAAGAGCCCAGACCACCAGAUAAGGUCCCAAAGUAUAUGCUAAGUGGAAAAGGAAGUGAGAUCGCACAGACAACCAGGAUGUUGGCUUAGAAGCAGCCAUUCAUUUAAAGAGUGCGUAAUAGCCCACUGGUUAAGCGGUUUCGCGCCGAAAAUGUAACGGGGCUAAAGCAUAUCACCGAAGCUGUGGUUUCUAGGAACUGUCCAUAAAAUUUAUCUAUCAAAAAUCAAGUUAGAUUUAGUCAAAACUAACAAAUAUAAUUUACAAUCGAUAGUUUUGACCAAAUGAUCUAGGCUAAAGCAUGGAUGAUUUAGCUAUUAUUUAGCAAAGCAUGGAAUGAUUUAGGAUGAAUUUAGAUAGGUUUUAUGGGCGGUUUCUAGAGAGGUAGAGGAGCAUUGUGUGCUGGGUGAAGCUAUACCGUAAGGAGUAGUGGACGGCACAGAAGAGAGAAUGCCGGUAUGAGUAACGAAAAAAGGAGUGAGAAUCUCCUUCGCCGAAAGUCUAAGGAUUCCUGAGGAAGGCUCGUCCUCUCAGGGUUAGUCGGGACCUAAGCUGAGGCCGAAAGGCGUAGGUGAUGGAAAAUCGGUAAAGAUUCCGAUACCACUGUAAAUUGAUUGAGUGAAGUGGGGACGCGGUAAAGAAGGUGGAGCAUGUGACUGGAAGAGCAUGUAUAAGCUAUUAAGCUGGGGUAAGGAGGCAAAUCCCUUUACCCAUCUAAACAGCUUAAAGUGAUGUGGAGCCAAAAGAGGCGAAGCCACCGGAUAAAUCGCCAAGAAAAACCACUAACGAGAUUUACAGUGCCCGUACCGCAAACCGACACAGGUAGACGGGAAGAGAAUUCUAAGGCGCGCGAGAGAACCCUUGUUAAGGAACUCGGCAAAAUGACCCCGUAACUUCGGGAGAAGGGGUACCCUUUAGGAAUACCUAGAGGGUCGAAGUGAAAAGAUCCAAGCGACUGUUUAUCAAAAACACAGGUCUCUGCUAAGUCGUAAGACGAAGUAUAGGGGCUGACGCCUGCCCGGUGCUGGAAGGUCAAGGAGAAGGCUUAGUACUUAUGUACGAAGGUCUGAACCUAAGCCCCAGUAAACGGCGGCCGUAACUAUAACGGUCCUAAGGUAGCGAAAUUCCUUGUCGGGUAAGUUCCGACCUGCACGAAUGGCGUAACGACUUGGAUGCUGUCUCAACAAGGGACUCGGUGAAAUUAAAUUGCCUGUGAAGAUGCAGGCUACCUGCGACAGGACGGAAAGACCCCGUGGAGCUUUACUGCAGCCUGAUAUUGGGUUUUGGUGUAGAAUGUACAGGAUAGGUGGGAGGCAUUGAAGCUGGUAUGCUAAUAUCAGUGGAGCCGUUGGUGGGAUACCACCCUUUCUACAGCGGAAUUCUAACUGGAGGCCAUAAACUGGUCACAGGACAUUGUCAGGCGGGCAGUUUGACUGGGGCGGUCGCCUCCCAAACAGUAACGGAGGCGCUCAAAGGUUCCCUCAGUGCGGAUGGAAAUCGCACGAAGAGUGUAAAGGCAGAAGGGAGCUUAACUGCGAGACAAACAAGUCGAGCAGGUACGAAAGUAGGACUUAGUGAUCCGGCGGUAUAGUGUGGAAUUGCCGUCGCUCAACGGAUAAAAGUUACCCCGGGGAUAACAGGCUUAUCUCCCCCAAGAGUUCACAUCGACGGGGAGGUUUGGCACCUCGAUGUCGGCUCAUCGCAUCCUGGAGCUGAAGCAGGUUCCAAGGGUUGGGCUGUUCGCCCAUUAAAGCGGUACGCGAGCUGGGUUCAGAACGUCGUGAGACAGUUCGGUCCCUAUCCGUCGCAGGCGGAGGAUACUUGAGGAGAGCUGUCCCCAGUACGAGAGGACCGGGAUGGACACACCGAUGGUGAAUCAGUUGUUCCACCAGGAGCAUAGCUGAGUAGCUAAGUGUGGGAAAGAUAAACGCUGAAAGCAUCUAAGCGUGAAACAAACUCCAAGAUAAGGUAUCCCACUCUGUUAAAGAGUUAAGAUCCCUUAAAGAUGAUAAGGUAGAUAGGCCGGAGGUGUAAAUGUAGUAAUACACUGAGCUGACCGGUACUAAUAGAUCGAGGGCUUAAUCAU